rnacentral:rRNA from 1 species
AACGAACGCUGGCGGCAUGCCUAACACAUGCCAGUCGAACGAGACCUUCGGGUCUAGUGGCGCACGGGUGCGUAACGCGUGGGAACUUGCCCUUAGGUUCGGAAUCACUCCCCGUAGGGGGUGCUAAUACCAGUUAAUGUCAUCGGACCAAAGAUUUUUCGCCUUUGGAUGGGCGCUCGUUGGAUUCGCUGGUUGGGAGGGUAAAAGCAUGCCAAGGAGUCGAUCCAUGGCUGGUCUGGUAGGAUGAUCGACCAGCCUGGGACUGAGACACGGCCCAGACCCCGACGGGACACAGGAGUGUAGAGUAUAGUACAAGGAGCCAAAGCCUGAUCCAGCAAUGCCGCGUGAGUGAUGAAGGCCUUAGGGUUCUAAAGCUCUUUUACCCGGGAUGAUAAUGACGGUACCGGGAGAAUAAGCACCGGCUAACUCCGUG